rnacentral:rRNA from 537 species
UGCGGAAGGAUCAUUG